GACGAACGCUGGCGGCGUGCUUAACACAUGCAAGUCGAACGGAAAGGCCCUGCUUUUGUGGGGUUCUCGAGUGGCGAACGGGUGAGUAACACGUGAGUAACAUGCACUUGUCUUUGGGGUAACUUCAGGGAACUGGGGCUAAUACCGGGUAGAAGAUCCUGCAGCGUGGGGGGGGAUGGUAAGUGUCGGCGGUGGUGGCUGGAAUCGCGGCUUAUCAGCUUGUUUGGGGGGUAGUGGCUGACCAAGGCUUUGACGGGUAGCCGGCCUGAGAGGGUGACCGGGGACAUUGGGACUGCGAGACGGCGCAGACGCCUACGGUAGGCAGCAGUGGGGAACAUGGCACAAUGGGCGGAAGCCUGAUGCAGCAACGCCGCGUGCGUGAUGACGGCCUUCGGGUUGUAAACCGCUUUCGCCGGUGACGAAGCGUGAGUGACGGUAACGGGUAAAGAAGCACCGGCUAACUACGUG
rnacentral:rRNA from 1 species